rnacentral:lncRNA from 1 species
CAUUAAGGAGAGCUAUCGAGGAGAACUCCUGAUUGUUGGAGAGAAUAAAGGAGCUCGAGGCUUAACUGGAGGCAGCAGAGAAGAAGGCAGUGAAGGCUACUUCCAAGGCUUUUGAAGACUUUUGGGCUUCAGAGGAGUAUGAGAAUAAGAAAAUCGAAUAUUUUGCUGAUGCUUAUGACACUGAAAAGUAGUCAACUCAGGACA